UCACGGCCUUAGUGGAAAAGGUGCAGAAAUUAGGAGCAGCAGAACAUCAUUUAAAUCUCAAAAUUGGGCUAUAUGGCACUUCUAAUUCAGGUGGCAAUGGGUCAAAAGUGACUUGUGCUCAGUAUGACUUCAGGUUCUUCCAAAACGUGAGCUGAUGUUCUUAUUUCAGUUCCUGGAAAAUAUCUGCCCCUCUUUGCUAAUUUAAAGGACAGAUAUAAUGAGUUGGUACAAGCUAUUGUCUCCAGUCCUUGCAGAAGCUGUUUCUUUGGGCCAAGAAGAAAGUGCCUUUGUUGGGUCAUGCCCUUCUCACGCUGCUCACCUCGCUCAUCGCAGCAUCAACCCAUCAUCCCUCUCAGAGGUUUCAUUUAAAACGUGUGAAACUUCUUUGGGAUAACCAUACCCAACCUCUCUGCAUCUCCUCCAGGCCAAGCAGUUCACAGAUAUUAUCUACCUAUCUCCCUCUGGUAUCUAUAAGGUCCCAAUCACUGGUAUCUAGGUGAGAUUAAGCCUCGACACACCCCAUGAGAUAGGUAUGUUAAGUGUUGCCAUCCUUGUUUUUACAGACAAGGAGGUUUGGCGAGAUGCUGAGAGCCUCCGCCGGCCCAGGCAGGCAGCGGGGGACGAGUCUGGCAGCCAGCUCAGAGCAGGGCCAGCUCACACCUGGCUCCCCUGGCCAAAUAGCUUGGAAAUGCAUAUAAAUGCACAUUGCAAGAAAGUACUGUGGUUUUUCUUUGUCUUACAGACCAGACAAGCACCAGGUGCGUGUAAAACCCAUGCGUUUCUGAAGAAGUGGCGUGUGCUGGCAGUUAACUGCAUUGUGCACAGCUGCAAAAGCUGUUAAUCAGUGCACGGGUAUCAUGUCCUGUUUCCAAAGCAUCCACAAAGAGCUUGGAAAUUCUCUCCCCAAACUCCACGUUGUCACUGCAUCCUCCCCAGACCCAGCCUCGGCCACCUGCAAGACAGACACACGCUAAGGGACAGAACUGUCCCGUUGGGCUGAGUUCUGCCCUGAAAUCCUGGGGCAGCUGCGUGCGGGGACGGAGAGAGGACGGCAGCCCGUCUGGAACCGGCAGCUCACCGACACGGCCGUUCCUGGAGUCGUCGCAGCCGCAGCUCUCGAAGUCUCCCAUGCUGCAGUUCCUGAUUCAAAUAGAGACACUGCUUUGGGAAAAAAAGAGACUUCUUGUUGAAGUAGACAGUACUGAAAUAUAUCCACAGCUUUCUUAUGAAGACAGUUUCUUUGGGCAUGUCUCUGGUUUCUGCCUUUGUCUCUCUGCACUUGCCCCCAUUGCAAGCUCAGGUGCCUCCAGCAUCGAGCUCCCUGGGAUGCUGCACGAAAAGUGGCUGAAGUGAGCCCAAGGAGCAGCUCUGCAGGAAGGACCCAGCUCCAGCCCGGCAUGGAUAGAGAUCCGGAAAGAGCCUGAAAUUCCUAGAAAAAUACUUGCCCUGUUUAUUAGGCCAUCUAAUACAGAUAGAGAAAAACAAACAUGACUUCUGGGACACCAAAAUCCUUCUCCAUCAUUCGGUUUAAAGAGCAGCCCCAGCACUCUGCAGAACACAUCCCGGCUGGUACCCAAAGGCAUCCCGGGCUGGGGAUGCGGUACUGGCGGGUCCGGGCGCACUCACCGCUGCGGAGCCGGUUGUGGGUGGAGAGCUGCAGGGCACUCUCGGGGCAGUUCCAGCGCUCCCAUCCAAACUGGAACUUGCACUCCUCCAUGCCGCUGUGCGCCCCGGCCGCCACGCUGCUGGAGUACGUCAGGUCCAGUCAUCAGAAAGUUAUUCACAGACCUGAAAUGAAGAAAAGAAAAUGAAUCACACAGCUUACCAUAGGCUGAAGAGCAUCCCUAAAAAAAUGCCCUUUCCACCGAGCUGGACCCUACCAUGCUGCUGCGUGGAGAACGGCGCUGUAGACCCCUGUGAUGGAGAGGAUGAGGAAGGUGCUUCUCUUCAUGGCUGUCAUGAGGAGCGAGGAUGGGUCCCUUUCGCUGAUCCGUAAGCUCUCUGUGCCGCAGGGCCGCCUCCCUCUGCUCCUCCCCAAGGAAAAGAAUAUAAACCCUGAAGUUUUUUGGCUGCUUAAGAAAAUGAGGCUGCUGAAGCAGAGGAACAGACCAGACAACCAAGGGUCUUCUCUAGCUGAUCUCUGUGAGCAAUUCCAGAAUAAAAACGUGUAUUUCUACUUGAAGGGAUCCAUACAUCAUCUUUUCAAAAAAUCAUUUUCCAAUUUCAUAAGCUUGUUAUACAGAGUAAGCCAAACCCAUCGGUAUUAUACGCUGUGUACAAGGUCAACAAUUAUGUAAGAAAGUGGUAAUCAGUAAGUUCCAUAUUUGUUAACUUCUCUGUUCAAAUGUAAGUGGAUUAUGCUAAAUCCUGUUUUCUUUCAAAUGUAUGAAAAAAAGACACUUCACCUCUCACAGCAUCUGAAGUGAACAGCUAUCUCUUCAGAACCUGACUGAAUUAAAGAAUGUUUUCAAUGACUGAUUUUAUGUCUUUUUUUCUUGCAAAUAUAUAUAAAGUGCAGAAAUCAGCUGCAGUCUUACUAAGGCUAUGACUUCAUAACAGGGUUAACCUGAGCUCUGCACACCCAAACUGACUCCUCUGGGGUUACACUACUUUGAGCACGAGUGACCACACCAUGAAAUAACACAGGAGC